rnacentral:rRNA from 1 species
UACGGAGGGGGCUAGCGUUGUUCGGAAUUACUGGGCGUAAAGCGCGCGUAGGCGGACCUGCAAGUCGGGGGUGAAAGCCCGAGGCUCAACCUCGGAACUGCCUUCGAUACUGCGGGUCUCGAGUCCGGGAGAGGUGAGUGGAAUUCCUAGUGUAGAGGUGAAAUUCGUAGAUUUUAGGAAGAACACCAGUGGCGAAGGCGGCUCACUGGCCCGGUACUGACGCUGAGGCGCGAAGCGUGGGGAGCAAACAGG